ensembl:snoRNA U3 Small nucleolar RNA U3
AAGACUAUACUUUCAGGGAUCAUUCCUACAGUGCACUACCAGAGAAGUUUCUGUGAACGUGCAGAGCACCGGAAACCAUGAGCAGGAGGCGCAGCGUUCUCUCCUGAGCAUGAGGCCGGAUCUUGGUGUUGCUUCGCUGCGACUGCCAUUGGCCGUUGAUGAUCAUUCUUCUCUGGGAGAGUAAGAGAGGACACAGUUUGAGUGGU